CAAAACAAAACAAAACCCAAAAAGUUACAGUCUCAGUGCAGAAGAGAAAUCCACCUCAUCCAGGAAAAGGGAAGGAAUAUGUGCUUGGCACAGUGAUACAUGUGUGGAGGAACAGUAACAUUCGUGAAAGCCAUACACUUGAUAAACAGGUUUACAGUACCUAGUGAGAGGUGACAGCAUGCUGGCAGCCCUCAGUCGCUCUCGGCGCCUCCUCUGCCUGGGCUCCCACUUUGGCGGCACUUGAGGAGCCUUUCAGCCCGCCGCUGCACUGUGAGAGCCCCUUCCUGGGCUGGCCUAGGCCGGAGCUGGCUCCCUCAGCUUGCAGGGAGGUGUGGAGGGAGAGGCGCGAGCGUGAACCCAGGCUGCGCGCUGCGCCUGCGGGCCAGCUGGAGUUCCGGGUGGGCGUGGGCUUGGCGGCCCCGUACUGGGAGCAGCCGGCAGGCCCUGCCGGCCCCGGCAAUGAGCGGCUUAGCACCUGGGCCAGCGGCUGCAGAGGGUGUGCUGGGUCCCCCAGCAGUGCCGGCCCACGGGCGCUGCCCUCGAUUUCUCGCCAGGCCUUAGCUGCCUUCCCGCGGGGCAGGGGUCAGGACCUGCAGCCCGCCAUGACUGAGCCUCCCCGCCCUCCUCCGUGGGCUCCUGUGCGGGAGGGAGCCUCCCCGACGAUCGCCGCCCCCGCUUCACGGCGCCCAGUCCCAUCGACCACCCAAGGGCUGAGGAGUGCAGGCGCAUGGCCCGGGACUUGCAGGCAGCUCCACCUGCAGCCCCAGUGUGAGAUCCACUGGGUGAAGCCAGCUGGUCUCCUGAGUCUAGUGGGAACUUGGAGAACCUUUAUGUCUAGCUAAGGGAUUGUAAAUACACGAAUCAGCGCUCUGUCUCUAGCUCAAGGUUUGUAAACACACCAAUCAGCACCCUGUGUCUAGCUCAGGGUUUGUGAAUGCACCAAUCGACACUCUGUAUCUAGCUACUCUGGUGGGGACUUGGAGAACCUCUGUGUGGACAGUCUAUAUCUAGCUAAUCUAGUGGGGACAUGGAGAACCUUUGUGUCUAGCUCAGGGAUUGUAAAUGCACCAGUCAGCACCCUGUCAAAACAGACUACUCAGCUCUCUGUAAAAUGCACCAAUCAGCAGGAUGUGGGUGGGGCCAGAUAAGAAUAAAAGCAGGCUGCCUGAGCCACCAGUGGCAACCCUCUGGGGUCCCCUUGCACGCUGUGGAAGCUUUAUUGUUUCACUCUUUGCAAUAAAUCUUGCUGCUGCUCACUCUUUGGGUCCACACUGCCUUUAUGAGCUGUAACACUCACGAUGAAGUUCUGCAGCUUCACUCCUGAAGCCAGCGACACCACAAACCCACCAGGAGGAAGGAACAACUCCAGAUGCACCUCCUUAAGAGCUGUGACACUCACCGCGAAGGUCCGCAGCUUCACUCCUGAGCCGGCGAGACCACGAACCCCACCAGAAGGAAGAAACUCUGAACACCUCCGAACAUCAGAAGGAACAAACUCUGGACACGCUGCCUUUAGGAACUGUAACACUCACCGCGAGGGUCCCCGGCUUCAUUCUUGAAGUCAGUGAGACCAAAAUCCCACCAAUUCUGGACACACUAGGAAGACUGAGACCCAAUUGGACCAUCAAAGAACGACCCAAUCACCAGCACAAAGCUAAUAAACUUGUAAGCUUUCAAUACAAAUAACGUUGGAACAUAGCUAGGAAGACUUCAGGAGACAGAUUCUCUUUGCAGAGUCUCUGGGAGCCUUUCUCUCUACCAUGUGGAUGCCUGCAGAAGCCUGCACAGUCAUUCUGCCACAUGCACUGUGGAUACACAGCUGAUUUACAGCUGGGCUGAAAAAGCCUCAUCUCUGUUUCUGGGGAUUCCAGGAUAUCCUGUUUUUGACUCUUAGCUAAGGUAAGUGCAAGACUUAUGAUGUGCAGUUUAAAGUUGAAACUCUCCUGAUGAUCUCCAAAUCAGUUUCUUCACUGGUAGUUUACUAUGAACCUAAUCAGUUAGGUCAGCUUUCUUGAUUUAGUGGCCGGUGGUGUACUGCAAACCCUCACUAGAUCUUCUGCUUUGAGCUCUUUGGCAACCAAGAUUCUUCACUCAGAAGUUGGUAGUUCAAGCUGCAGAAAAAGCACUGUCUAUGUGUGUGUGAGAAUAAGGCCUCUCGGAGCUGGUGCAUGGAAUGUCUACAGGAUCUGAUACUUUCUGCACUCUUUUUCUCUUACUGGACCAUAUUGUUUGUCUUCAAAUAUGACCUUUAACGCAAGUAUGCUCGGUGGUGUCUGCUUAAUCCUUUCAAUUAUUAAAACUUGGGAACUCUUUGCAUGUAUAAACUUGGAAGUGGAAAGGAUAUAAUAAUUCUGGGACAAAAUUUGAUCAAUGAGCAGCAAAAGCCAAUUGAUACGUAUAGGCUUCAUUUGUGUCUCAGAUGGACACUUCUGAGAUGCAAGGUAAAAAGUCGCUUGGACUGUCCCAGCAACAAUGAUGUCCAUUUUAGCGCAGAAAUAUCCAACUCGUUCUUCACCCUUAAAUGGGGUUUUUCUCUUUCCCUGUUUUAUUUUUCCCAGUCUUUCUAGUUCUGAUCAUUGGCAUCAGUUCUUCAAAUGAAUUAGCUGAGUGCAGUUCCUAGAUUCAGAUUCUGCUUUGGGAGCAAACCCAAGCUAGGACAGGUUAAUAAAUCAAUUUUGCUAUUUUUCUUAUUCUUUUUCUUUUUUUUAUGGCAUAUUAUUCUUUACUAUCAAAUGGCAGAUUUAUGUGAAAUUUGAAAAUGUAAACUAUGCAAGUAUGUAAUCAUUAUUGAGCUCUUGUAAAAACUAAAAUUGCAUCAAAUUAUUGGAUGAAAAUAAUUCUGAUUAGUAAAUUAUCUUCUCUAUUUUAGCAUUCACUGUUCACUUAAGUGCUCCCGCAGUAUUAUGGAGGAAGAAUCAGCUUGUAGAAAAAGAAACCUUAUAAAUUGAGAGAAGACUACUUAUUAACAACAAUAGAUAGCAAACUGCAAUGAGUCAUAGCCUAAAAAUUCUAAAAAGAAAUUGAAAUUAGACCCUUAUAUAAAACAAAUCAAUCAACCUAAAAUAACAGAAAAGUAAAUAUGUUUUACUUUUAAUACUAUGAAAUUUUAAUAUUAUGAAACCUGUUAAAUGAAAAAGUUUAAGCCCAAGAAUGGUAGAUGGAAAUAAAAACAAUGCACCAAAAAGAGAGAAAAAUAUUCAAAAUAAUAUAGUAAAAUAAAAGACAAAAUUAGUAGUCCAUUUUGGUCAACCAAGAAAAUAUUUUUGUGAUAAGAAAAUAACAGUAAUUCUGUAUGUAUUUAAAUACUGUUUUUUAAUUAAAAUGCUAGACAAACUACUUAGAAUUUAUGAAGGAGUUUUUCAAAUAAAAGUUAAAUAUGUUAUCUUAUUUGGAACUAGCAUAAACAUAUGAAUAAAUUUUGACUCAUUUAAAAUAUAUACUACAAACUUAAGGCUAAUAACUAAAAUAACAGAAGUGUAAAUUAUAAAACAUUUAAUCCAGAAUAAGAAUUAAAGAAGUAAAAAGAGGAAGACUUUAGAGCAAAUGGAAAAUGCUAUUAACCCAGUAUUAAGGUAGGGCACAGAAAAUGUAUGCUAUACAUUCAUUGCUGGUGGGAAUGUAAAUUGAUACAGGUAUUUUAAUGAGUAACUUAAUAUGUCUGAUAGAAUUUAAAAUUCCCAUGCCUUUUGAUUCAGUAAUUCCUAAAUAUAUAUGCUAGAGAAACAGUUGUUCACAUAUAUAAAGAGACAUAUAAAAUAAUGGGCCUAGGAAAUAGUGAUUAUAAUUCAAUAUGAUUUAAACAAUCUAAAAUUCCAUCUAAAUGAAAUAGUUAAAAUAUUAUCACAUUCUUUCACACACACACACGGAUUUUAUUCAGCACUUUACAUAGUUUGCCCUUUCUUACUCUCUCUUAUUAUGCCUAUAUACACAGCAUAAUGGAUAUAUAUAUGUAGGCUCUCUCAUUAUCUGAAAAAAGCCACUAGUUAUAGCACAUGUAUCUUACAGUGAAUUUAAAACAAAACUCAAAUCUUAACUCAUGUAGUUUAGGAAAAUAUUUAAAUUUUGAGACAUGGUCUCAAUCCAGACGUUAGGAAUUAUGUCUGCCUAUUAUCAUGGGCCAUUAGAACAAAACUUGAUAUACGAAAAUCCUCGGUGCUGAGAUUACGUCAAUAUAUCAAUAUUGAGAUUAUGUCAAUACAUCAAUAUUUGUUCCAAUUGCUCCAUCAUAAUAGGAAGAAAUAGUGCCUAAUGACUGUAUUGAGACCGUGUGUUAAAAGUUGAAUAUUUUCCUAAACUACAUGAGUUAAGAUUUGAGUUUUGUUUUAAAUUCACUAUAAGACACAUGUGCUAUAUCUAGUGGCUUUUUUUUCAGAUAAUGAGAGAGUCUACAUAUAUAUCCAUUAUGCUAUUUAUAUAAGGAAUAUAGAAAAUAUAAACCAUAAUUUUACGUUAGGAUCAUUGUAUAUGUUUAUGUGUAAGUUAAUUUUCUGGCCAGUUUUAGAUAUUUGAAAACAGUUUCAUUUUUAAUUCAAUUUUUCUCUGAGUUCUAUCCCAAGCAGCCAUAAUGUGUAAGGCAACGGGACAACAGACAGCAUCCAGCAGGGAUUCCUAAGAAAAGACAAAGCUGAAAUGGGAGUCUGAAUGACUUUUCUAGAUCUACUUAUUUAAAACUUAGGAGAUCAUAACAUAUUAAGACGGAAAAAGUGAUGCUCACGCCAGAGAAGAGUCAGCCCAAGGUCAUCUAGGAUCAGUGGCACACCUAGGAUUCAGGCCCAAGGACCCCCAGCUGACCUGCCUUCCCUGGAACCUCACUGUGAGUUCUUUAACCAUGGCUGUGUUUUCAAAGUUGAACUGGGGCUGCUGUUGAUACCACCUUUAAAUGCCUGCUUUUGUCAUGGAGACCAUGAGAACUUCACUCUUCAGCUGGCAAUUUACCUGGCUGCACAGUGCUCAGGCACACACAGGCUUCAGGGCUACAAGGUAAAGGAUUUGCCAAGGCCAAGUGCUGAAACCCACUUCUUGUUUUGAAGCAAAUGAGAACUUCCACCUGUAUUUGACCUGGGUAUGUAUAUUAAUUAGUUUGGCAACUGAGAUUUUUUUCUUGAUGAUCAAAAGUCCUAACUGGCAGUUAAAUAUGUCUUUUUUUUUUUUUUUUUUGAGACAGAGUUUCCCUCUUGUCACUCAGACUGGAGUGCAAUGGCACAAUCGAGGCUCACUGCAACCUCUUUCUCCCCAGUUCAAGCAAUUCUCCUGUUUCAGCCUCCCAAGUAGCUGGGAUCACAGGUGUCUGCCACCACACCUGGCUAAUUUUGUAUUUUUUAGUAGAGACAGGUUUUCACCAUGUUGGCUAGAUUGGUCCUGAACUCCUGACCUCAGGUAAUCCACCCGCCUCGGCCUCCCAAAGUUCUGGGAUUACAGGUGUGAGCCGCUGCCCCUGGUCAAAUAUGUCUUUUUAAAAAAAUAAUAAUAAUGACUUUUAAAUACAAGUGACCUGAGUAUGCAAAGUAUUUCUAGACUCAGGGUUCUUAAAGUGAGGAAAAAUUAGCAAAAGCAUUAUUUGACAGCCCCUAGAAUAGGCCAAAUAUGAAAUAACUAACAAAUUGCAGAUAGUAGUGUGCUCUACAAAGAAAAAGAGAGCAAGACAAUGGAUUACAGAAAAGAUGAAGUUUAUUUUAGAUGGAGUAUUAAGUGACAGAUUCUAUGAGGAGGUGAAAAUUGACCAGACAACUGAAAGAAGUAAAACAGCCAUACUAGUAUCUCAGGAAAAAUUAUCGCAGGAAAAAAAGAGGAAAAAUAAAAUGACUCUAUGUCGGAGGGAGUUUGGGCUGGCAUGGUGGCUCAUGCCUUUAAUCCCAGCACUUUGGGAGGGCGAGGUGGGUGGAUCACUUGAGGUCAGGAGUUCGAGACCAGCCUGCUGAACAUAGUGAAACCCGUCUCUACUAAAAAUACAAAAAUUAGCCUGGUGUGGUGGUGGGUGCCUGCAAUCUCAGCUACUCAGGAGGCUGAAGCAGGAGAAUUGCUGGAACCUGGGAGGUGGAGGUUGCAGUGAGCCUAGAUCAUGCCACUGCACUCCAGCCUGGGUGACAGAGUGAGACUCCACAAAAAAAAAAAAAAAAGGGGGGGGUGGGUGGGGAGGAGGGUUUGGCAUGUUUAAUGGAAAAGGUCUGUGUGUGACCAGAAUAGAUGGAAUGCAGAGAAGCAAAAUAUAGAUUUUAAUUUCCAUGGUUCUUUACUGAAGAGUGUUUCUUAUUUAAGUAACAACGCUAUGAUUAAAUUGAUUGUGAAAGAAUUACAAAUCUAGAAUUUAUUGCAUGAUCAGAUAGGAGAACAGAUUUGAUUUGCUAACUCUGUAUAAUAUACUACAGUGUAAGCCACCCUCUAUUACUUUAGCAAAAGAUGUUUUUUUCAUUUUCCUGCAAGUAUAUUUUUUCUCUAAAACCUUAAUUAGCAUUUUUUAAUAUUGCUGAAAGAUGGGGAUAUAAGUUCCAUUUAUUUCUUGAAACUGAAUAUAAUUAUCAAAUAUUGAAAAAUAAUAAUGGGCAUCAUUAUAAUUACUGUUAAGUAGUUUUCCUGUGUAGAGAGAAUUAUAAAAAUAUCCUUCAUUAUCUUUCAUGGAUAAAUGAUGUUUUUCUCAUGAGCCAGAGAAAAAUUAUCACAAUGUCUGCCCAGGUGUUUCUGUUAUGCUUACAGAAGUGAGUAGUGCUAUUUGCAGACACUGUACUUUCUCUCUUUUUCAUAUGAGUACAUUAAUCAAUUGUGGAGUUGUGGCAUCUGCUGUAAAACAAUUUGUUUUUCCAUUAUUUGAUGGCUACACUUUUUCUUUUAGUUUUUUUCUCUUCUUAUUGAAUCACAUUUUCUUUCCUCUUCUUUUAAAAAUAUUGCUGUAUUGAUUUACAAAAAAUAUAUAUUUUAUUGCCUCAUUUUAAUUUUUGGUAAUCCAUGUACUGCUUUAUUAAGGCCUAUAUAACUCAUAAUCCAACUCAUCGAUUAAAAGUUCAGGAAACCAAAGAGAUGGCUUUUUCUCCAAUUGAAGAUAUCAUAAUGAUAAUUUUGGGGGCUGGUGAAAACUGAGAUUGUCAGAAGGCUAAUUUUUUCUUAGAUGUCAUUUUUGUUGGUCACAAACUAGAGAUGAAGCUCUCUACAGGCAAGUAUAGAACCAUCUCUCUGUGCAACAAUUUGUAUUUUCAGACCACUUUUAGUCUUUGGGGGUAGAUACAAUUACUUAGAAAAAUCUUCAAUGUCUCUUUGGAAAACAGUUGAUCUCGAACUCAGUUCUAAAGCUGAGUCAGCAUCACAGGAUUUCAGAUUCUUGAAUGUUAUUUUUGUUGUCUUUCUCUUACUAAAUUGUUAUCACUGAAUAUUUCUCCUUUGUUUUACUCCAUUUGGACUGCUAUAACAAAAUACCAUAGACUGAGUAGCUUAUAAUACAGAAUUCACAUCUCACAGUUCUGAGGCUGGGAAGUUCAGCAUCAAGGUGCCAGCAGGUUCAGUGUCUUGUGAGGGCCUGUUUUCGGUUUCAUGGAGGGCCCCUUCUCACUGCAUCUUUACGUGGUACAAGUGGCAAGUCAGCUCUCUGGGGCCUCUUUUAUAAGAACACUUAUAGGAAUAUUGAAUUAGUGAACGAGCUCUGUUCUCGUGAAUUAAUCAUCUCCCAAAAGGCCCUAUCUCCUAACCCAUUUAUGCUGGAGGUUGCAAUUUUUGUGUGUGAAAAAUCAGACCUUGGCAAUGACCUUGAGCAGUAGGAUAUAAAUAACUCCCACAAGCUUAGCAUUCCAAUAAGGGAACACUAGGCAUAAAUGGGCUUAAUACCCUCAUCUUAGGGGAAAGGAUUUCAAUAUGUGAAUUUUGUGAAACACAAACAUUCAGACGGCAGCAUCUUUGCUUUCUUAAAAAGUUAAAUGAAACAAGUUCCCAAAUUUAAACAAGCAGAAAUAUGUAUACAGAUAAGGGUAGAGGAAUAGUUUAAAAUUAUUUUAAUUAGAUAUUUGAAGUCCUCAGUACGCUACAUUUAUAAAAAAGAAAUGGUAUAUGUGACAGGGAGCAAAAUAAAACCCUGUGUCAUAAAAAGAAUCCACUAUCAAUUAUUUAAAAAGAUCUUAGCAAGGAAAUAUCAGCUUCGAUAUUACAAACUUUUCAGAUGUGAAAAAUGAUUUAUUUUCAAAUAUAGUUCAAAUGAAGUUUUGCCUUAACAAAAUGGCUUUUCUAAAGGCCACCUUUAGAUCAAAAUACUUAAUCUAACUUGUGCCACUUCUUGGUAACCCUUGGUAACCCCUAAAUUGUUUUCUCUAUUUUCUCCAACUACUCUACUAAAAAGUUUCUUCCUAUUUCUCCACAUGGCUUCAAAAAAGGGAACAUAAAAGAGAAAUACCAGUCAGUGAUAAUCAUGUGGAAAAAAAUAAUAAUGUGAAGCAAUUUUUGUUUGUUUGUUUGUUUGUUUGUUUUCUCUCGAGGUCAUGAUCUGGUACUUUUUUACAGCAAACUCAUACUUAACAAAUUUUAAAGAUUUUUUAAAGAAUGAACUAAUGAAUUGGGUUAGGUAAGUUUAUCUUAACCAUUCUUAUGUCCUUUAAUUUUCUGCACUUUGCUAGUAUUUUACUUUUAGAAUCCGUAGUCAGCUUGAAUCAUAUUAAUUUUCUGACAACUGAAUAAAAAAUAUUUCAAUAUUUCAUGCAUCUUGUUUAUUUGUUUGUUUUGGUAGUUUUUUUUAAGAAAGUGAAAGUAGUUUAAUUUAGAGAGAAGCCAUGGAAACCGGGAAACAAAAAUGAGAUUGUGAUUGGGAAGGAAGGGAUCGUCAUCAAUAAAAUUGCUUUACUAAGCAAGUUAUUGCUGGAGGUGACAAAACUUUGAUCCCACUAGAGCCUUUAAAAGCCAGUAUCGAACACACUGUUCAGUAAUGCCACUCAAAUGAGCAGUGCAUUUAUUUAUUCAUUCUUUAUCAGUCAUUUGGUUGGUAGUAUGUUAUUAAUUCCACAGUAAUUCUGACUUGCCACUUGCAUGGACAAAUUGGGUUCCAGCUGCCAGAAAAAUCCUUCAGGCAAAGGAUGCAGCUGCCACCAGUUGGAAUUCUAGGGGAUACUUGGUCUUUAUAAUUUCUGAGUACAUAAGCAUCUACUAUAUGUGCUUAAUACAAAUGAAUGCCAUUUUAAUGUACCUUAAAAUUUCUAAGCAAAUACAUGAAAAGCAAUGUCUAAUUUCUUGCUUAUUUUCAAGGUAUACAGAUAACUCUGUUAUAUUCAGAAAGAGCAGGGACCUGAAAAAAAAAAUCUGUGUUAAAGUCUCAUAUGAACUAAAAAGAAAAAGUAAUUUAUUCUUCUGCUACUUCUCUUUUCAGUAAGGGUGGUUGCCUUGUCUUGCUCAUUGCAAGAAUGAAAGCUGUAUAAGUUGAAUGAAAAUAUAAAUAUGACUUUGAAGGUGGGUAAGUCUUACCUUCCCUUCUAGCAGUCUCUGAAGUUGCUUGAACAAUGGCUUAUUUUAUUAUUAGUUGGGACUCUUUGGUUGCAAGUAAUGGAAGUAUACUUGAACUAGAUUAGCAAAAAUGUAAGGCUUGUUAUAACAUUGCACAAGCACAGAACUCGCUGCUGGCUGGUAAGAUAUAGGACUACUGCAUUAUGGGGAUUUUUGAAUUCUAAUCUACUAGAGGGACCAUUGUUUUAAAAGUUCUUUAGAAGUUAUUCUUGGAACUACUAUUUAUACACGAAAGAAUGUGGAUGGAUCUCAAAAGCAUUAUGGCAAAAGACAGAAACAAAAGGCUACAUAUUGUUUCAUUCCAUUCACCUAACAUUUUAAAAAGCACAAAACUAUAGCAGUAAAAAUGAAUCAGUGGUCCCCAGAGACUAGGGGUAAAGGAGCAACUAUAAAAAGGAGACUUUUGGGAUAAUGGAACUAUUUUAAAUAUUGACUAUGGUUGUGGUCACAAGACUGCAAAACUGUAUACAGUUAUUAAUAUUUAUAGAACAAUACACUUCAAAAUGGGGGAUUUUAUUGAAUGCAAAUUAUACCUCAAUAAACCUGAUUGCUUUUUAAAAUAUAUAUAUAUAUAUAAAUAUGAAAUAGAUUAUUUUUAGUAAGUGACUAGAAAAAGGGCAAGCAAAAUAAUCGGUAACUUAGUAGGCAGCAAAUUAUUGUUCAUUUAUUUAACUCAGGUUUUAGAAAGUCCAUUGUGAAGCUAGUAAAAGAUUGUGAUUUGAAUUAUUUCUCAAAUUAUAGAUGAUUUUUAAUGAAGACAACAGAUAUACCUAAUAAAUUAUUUUUAAUUGAUCCAUGGAUACUAUCUUAUCUUUAUUCACACUUAGAUAUAAGAAAACACUAAAGAUAGACUUAGCAUGUUUCUAAAAUUAAUUUCUCUAAUUUGCAACACAGCACAUAAUAGUCAUGAUAAUUAAGCCAACUGAUAUCAUAAUUUAUGAUUACUUCUUGUCAGAAACUGUGAUAUUAUUUCCAUUGAGUAGGAAGUGGGGAGUGGGGCAAUUAAACUUAGUGCUAGAAUUAUUCUCCUUUUAAGCAUAAUUCAUCAAAAUCAAGAGUGAGCUUCAAAAUGACCAGUAAUAAAAGUAGGAAGAGAGAUGAUUUUCUAUAAAGUGCAAUUUAUGGAUUCUGGAUUCACAGAGAAAAUAAACACAUAGUGAAUUAGGUAAAAAUAAAAGAGGUAAAAUAUCCUGCAUGUAUUCUAUUAACAAGAUCAAAAGAAAACAAAAUUUACAUUACCGUAGAGAUCUUUAUAGCACCCCGUUUGUUAAAUUGAUAUUGUUGUGUUAAAAAAUUGACACAGACAUAUUAAUGGCUACAAAGAAAGAAAUAAAGAACUCCUUCUCACUUUUAAAUAGAUUCUGGAUUCUAGAGGAUAGUCCACACUUUCUUGUGCAAUUGUUUAAAUGUUGAAAUUGCUGACAUUAAGUGUGUAUGCAUUUACAUGUUGAAAUGCCACACAAAGGGUUUAUUAAUUUACUCUUUUUAUAAGCAAUGUAAGUCCUUGGUCUCUACAGUCUUAUCAAUAUCAAGUAUUUUGUACAUUACUGAUUUUGCCAAUUUAGUAUAUGAAGAAAAAGCCCACAAUAUAAUCUUUAUUUUGUUCAGUGGUAAGCAAAGUUAAACAUAUGUUUUUUAAAAGUCCCAUUUUGCGUCUUGAUUUCAAAUCAUCUGGUCAUAUUCCCAAAUAUUUAUAUGUUGCAUUCUUUGAUUUUUAUUCAUUUAUGGAAAAGUUUCGGGGAUAAAGAAGGAUUAGUAUUUUCUGUGUUCCACAUGGCUGUUCUAGACCAUUGAAACUCCUGUCCACAUAGUGUCUUAUUUUUUUUAAUAGUUUCACAUAGAAAGUAUGUUAAUAUACAUGAUCUUUUAAUUAUUUCCACAUAAAAGGUAUUUAGAAUUUAUCAUUAUUAUCAUCAUUUCAACUUUAGACUUAAAUAAACUGAACCUCAAAGUGGUCAAUGACUUGACCGAGUCCCAAGUAGAAAUGAAGCUGAUUUUCUGGCUUCUUUCGUAUUUUUUCAAACUACAUAUAUUCAUUACAUUUAUUUUACUAACAAAGUAUUGCUUUAUCCUUUCUUAUGAACCAGCAUUUUUAUUGUUUUUUUAAUUAAAUUUAUUCUUAUUAAUAAAAAAACAAGUCAAUUCCUUGGAAAUUUUUGCCGAAACCUGUUUUACAUUUCAAUAUCUCCAUAAUUGGCCAUAGGCUUUAAUGACAUUGAACUCCUUCUUUCUCUGUUGCUUCAGGCUUGUCCAUAGAAGUAAAUAUUCGCAUGAUUUUAACUUUCCAAACUGGCCCGAAAUAAUUUGUCUUAACUAUUGUCAAAUUAUUACCCACUUUGUAAAGCUGUGUUCAGUUUCUUCUCCUCAAUGAAAACGUUCAUGGUCAUAUAAAAAUAUGAUUACAAUUUUUCUCACUCUCUGAGUUACCUUGUAUUUUAUAAUAUUUUCAUGUAAGAAAAUGAGCUGUCCAUUUUAAAUGUCCAUCAUAAUUCUUCAAAUAAUGUUUAUAAAAUUAUACUCACUGGCUAGUAAUAUGCAGUUUGGCAACAGAAUGAGACUAUAUACAAAUUAAUAAAGUCAGUUGUUGGUCACAGUUAACAAUAAUUUUUCAUAAGCUUGGAGUUGAGGAAAUUCAAAGGCACUCAGUAUUUUUUUAAAUUAAGAAUUGCAAGAAGAAAGAGACAGAAAAUGAGUAUGUUAUUCAAAAUGAAAAGAUCAAUGCAAUCAUCCAAACCCAGUUAAGACUGUGUAACAGUGCAAAACAAGGUGUUUCUAAUAUUUCUAGAAUAUCACUGUCUUUCCCUUAUAGUAGGCUCAAGAUUUCUUUAAAUGACGUAGGGAAAGUAACUUUCCAUCGGCAAGACAGAAAAUAGCUAUUGGGAGAUUAGGGUAGGAGACGGAAGGAAAGCAAAGGGAAGGGAAGGGGAGGGGAGGGGAGGGAAGGGGAGGGGAAGGAGAAUGGCAGGAAAGAACAAGAAAAGGAGGGAGAAAGAACUAAGAAAGGAAGAGAGGAAGGGAGGGGAGGAGAGAGAGAGGAAAAGAGGAUGAAAAAUGAGAGGUGGAAUAACAGCUAGACAGGAAAGGAGAAUGAGAAAAGUAAGACGCAAACAGGGAGAGCAAAAAUUAAAGUAACCUAGAUGUGGCAGUCAAGAGAUUGUGAAAGAUGUGUAUACAAAAGAGGGGCCAUACCACAGCAGUAACUUGACCACAGCAGUAACUCAAUGCAUGAUUUGUGUUCCUGUAUCUUUUAAUGGCACAAGUCCUGGGACCUUUGAUGAGGCUCUGUCUAAUCAUAGAAGGACUCUGCCACCAGAAUAACCUAGUUUGCAUAAACUUUCCUCGUGUUUUCUUUCACUCCGCUAUCCAGACUGUAGGGUGUGCCUUACAUUAUUUAGCUGAAUUGUCAACAGGUGUACUGAGUAAACUGUUUGAUUUAUAAAUAUCUCUGUAUCUAAUCAUGUAUCAAUUUCUCAAAUUAUGGUGUUUCACAUAUUGGUUUCUCUAAAGAUUAUUUCAUUUCACAAUUUGAGGCAGUUUUGUGAAAAGAAACAUAUACAUAUAUUUUAAUUUCUGCCUGAAAUAUACAACAUUGAAUUUCAUUCAAAUAUUUAAUGCCUUCACAAAUAAAACGUAGCUAGUGUUUCAUGUUGCUGUUUAGAAGUUUAUUGAAAUAUGGCAGAUAAAAUGCUAUAGAGAUAUUAUUAUGUUUAAUAAUUCAGUAGUUGCUUCAAAUAUGCUAUAAAGUGUUGGAAUAUGGCCAGUUAACUUUAAAAUAUAGAAUAAUAAAAUAAUUGGAUUUAAAAUUGCUUCAUAUUAUUUUUGUUUAAUAAAAAGACAAUCCAUGUCUUAGGUGUACCCUUUUAAAUCCUAUCUACUUUCUGAUUCUUAGGAUUCUUAAAAAGAAUAUUGUAAUGACUGAACAGAAAUAUUAUAUCUGAUUUUGUACUAGAAAAUUGAAGCAGCAUGGGAUCAUGGCUAAGUAAGAGCUUUAUAGCAGUAGCAAAUAGUUACAUGAUUACUGAAGUAUAGCUGUCACUGGAAAUAGAAAGCUGCAAGGAACCUAUCAUAAAAGUAGCAAUUUCAGUUUCACUAGUGUUUAAAAUUAAAGCCUAGUAAUUCAUUGUGGAUGUAUUUCCUCAAUGGUUUCAGGAAAGUAUCCUGCUUUCACUGAGCAUUUUCACUUUGUUCCUUAUGUGUUUCCUUUCAUAAUGAAAAAGUUGUAAUUUCAGAUUGGUAAAACAAUUGUUAGGACUUUGUGAACAAACACUCAAAAAGUUUUGUGUCAUGAAAUAAUGAUUAGUCAAUUGUAUUUAUUGUUAUAACACACUAUGUUAAAAAUUCACUGCCAGAUGAUCCACAUUAUGUUAGGUAAACCAAUUUAAUCAACAGUUUCCUCUUUUGACAUAUAAUUAGCUGAUGGAUGAAUUUAGAGGUGUAAAAAACCUUCAAAUAAAAGCGUUUAUGGAAAAAAAUAAUGGCUGUUUAUGGAGUUUUGCAUACAUGUGUUACUGUCUUAAGAAGCUGAAAUGAGAUUUAAG
rnacentral:lncRNA from 1 species